rnacentral:rRNA from 1 species
UGAGGAAUAUUGGACAAUGGGCGCAAGCCUGAUCCAGCCAUGCCGCGUGCAGGAUGACGGUCCUAUGGAUUGUAAACUGCUUUUGUACAGGAAGAAACAGUUCUACGUGUAGAACCUUGACGGUACUGUAAGAAUAAGGAUCGGCUAACUCCGUGCCAGCAGCCGCGGUAAUACGGAGGAUCCAAGCGUUAUCCGGAAUCAUUGGGUUUAAAGGGUCCGUAGGCGGUUAGAUAAGUCAGUGGUGAAAGCCCAUCGCUCAACGGUGGAACGGCCAUUGAUACUGUCUGACUUGAAUUAUUAGGAAGUAACUAGAAUAUGUAGUGUAGCGGUGAAAUGCUUAGAGAUUACAUGGAAUACCAAUUGCGAAGGCAGGUUACUACUAAUGGAUUGACGCUGAUGGACGAAAGCGUGGGUAGCGAACAGGAUUAGAUACCCUCAUAGUCCCUGAGCGGGCUGGCAAGGCGCAU